CAGUUAGCCUAGUGGUUAAGGCUUUGGAUCGCCAAUCCGGAGACGGCGGGUUCGCUUCCCGUUCUG
rfam:Aedes albopictus isolate Foshan contig2685, whole genome shotgun sequence.